GAUCGGCAUGCCGGAAAACAUCGCGGCGAGGGUGGCGAUCCCGUAGCUGAUGCCAAUUCCAAGAACGGUCAUGAACGCGGAGCCUUGCCGAGAGAGGUAAUGAUCUGGAGCAGGAUCUGGACGCACAACAGCGUCAUGCCUGCCGCCAUCAGGACGUACGGGAUGGCGAGCGGCGGGCUCCACAAGACCUGACCGUCCACCCACGCUUCAUGGGCCAGCGUCCAUGAUUUCCACGAGAAGAAGGCG
rnacentral:misc_RNA from 1 species